GAAAAUUGGCUCCGCAGAGAGACUCUAGUGGUCCUGCAUAUUCUAAACAGAAUGAGUAGAGAUAAGAUCAGAAGGAUUGAUUGAAAAAUGGGAACAAUGUGUAUCUGUCUCAAUCAGACGAGAAGAUACCUUAUCUACAAGGAUAAGAAUUCAUGUUUACCACCAACAGACACCUUAUCUAGAUUCAGAUAGAUCAUCCAGGACGAACCUUAAAAGGAUAUCCCAGAACAAAGGGUUAGGAGAAAUUUGGUCAACAAUAAUAUGGUGAUAGAAGAAAGUGUCUUCAGGUUAUAUACAAAUGUUGGUGAAAAACAUACUACUGCUAGUCCGAGUGCAGCGGCAGGUGCAGAUGGAGGAUCACUCAGUCUCCAUCUAUAUUAUAGAGUAACCUUUUAAAAGGAAUUUAUUUUCCCAAGACCGAUUUCUAGCAUGCUGGGAAGGAAGUAGACCAUCCUGGGUUGCUAGAGCCUAAUCAUG
rnacentral:lncRNA from 1 species